AUUGAACGCUGGCGGCAUGCCUUACACAUGCAAGUCGAACGGCAGCACGGGAGCAAUCCUGGUGGCGAGUGGCGAACGGGUGAGUAAUAUAUCGGAACGUGCCCGGUCGUGGGGAUAACGUAGCGAAAGCUACGCUAAUACCGCAUACGAUCUACGGAUGAAAGCGGGGGAUCGCAAGACCUCGCGCGAUUGGAGCGGCCGAUAUCAGAUUAGGUAGUCGGUGAGGUAAAGGCUCACCAAGCCGACGAUCUGUAGCUGGUCUGAGAGGACGACCAGCCACACUGGGACUGAGACACGGCCCAGACUCCUACGGGAGGCAGCAGUGGGGAAUUUUGGACAAUGGGCGCAAGCCGUGAUCCAGCAAUGCCGCGUGCAGGAUGAAGGCCUU
rnacentral:rRNA from 1 species